CAGCUGAGAGGAUGUAAACACUGGGGCACGUGACCCUAUCUCUGGGAGGGAGGCGGAGUCGAUCUAUCCUUCCUUUGGACUGGACGCUUGGUUGUUGCGUCAGCUCUGCAAGCGGAGAGACUCCGCCCCGCAACUCCACGACCAAUGAAGAUACAAGAGUGUUGCGUCAAAAAAAAAAAAGAUAACGUCAAUAAAGCAGCCAAUAACAGUUGGAGAUUUUUAGGCUUUGUGUUUUUUACUUAGUCUGUCAAAAGAGCAGCUCUUCGAACGAAGAUAGGGAGCGAUAACUUGUGAAUGGAAGCUGUUCGUUUCGAAAAUAGAAAAUGUGAUCCAGUAGGCAUUAUUAAAUUUAGCGUUAAGUAUCCUAGUAUCAGAAAAAAAAAUUUAUAAUAUGAAAACAAGGAUGGGGAGGGGAAUCCAGCGUUCUGUUGAAACAGAAUUAAGAAAGGCUGAGUAAAAUAAUUACCCUUGCAAAAUAAAGUUUCUUUGACAAUUUCAGCUGUUAAAAAUCUCUACUCUCUGAAGAUCGAGAAAUUGUUUAUCCUUAUUUAGAUAUGAUUAAAUGCUAUUUUGUCAGGAAUCUCAUUUAAUGCACAAUGAUCCUGCAAUUUUAAAAUCUUACUUAGACCUCGACGGUCAUAUCAAAUUGCUUCUAGGAUGACCCAGUCCAAUAAGUAUGUAGAUGAAAAUGUCAGCCAGUACAACAUCUGCAAAAGAAAGUUCUGUUUCUCUGAAAGAGGAUAGCUCAUCAAAGCAAAUUAACCCAGAAAAAGGAAAGGAAAAAAAAAAGAAAGAAAGAAAGAAUGGGAAGACAGAGGAAGGGAAGAAUCACAGCUCAUAUUACAGAACAUCAAAUACAAAGAAGGCAAAUAAAUAUAAAGGUACAACUUGAGCAAAAAUCCAAACACAGAUAAAUUAACUGAAAGCCAUAGUAAAUAAUAAUAGAUUAAAAAGAGAUUGCUUAAUUUAAUUUAAAUAAAAUAUAGAAUUACUUUCUUAAAAUAUUUAGUACGUUACUUCUUACUUUUUGUCAUGGGUGAAUGCCUUUGUAUGCCUUAAACUGGCGUCAGCAAAUGUCUUAUAACAAACAAACAAACCAACAAGUACAAUAAUUUAAUAGCAAUUUGGUGUUCUAAUUUAUAUUAGCACAUACUGUAGCUUUGUCAAAUUGUUUUCUUUAAAAAAUAAGCACAGCUUCUAAGAACAUACACCUCUCCUGUCUAAACUAAGGUCUGAGGGCCAAGCCAGUCCCUCCACACACAAACAGCAAGCCCACCUAAUGCCAAAGAGCAAUCACAGCAUAUGAAAAUUGGAGAAUGACUGAGAGGCAAUCUGUGGAUAGAAACACUAUAUGUAUGAAUGAAGGCUCUGAGCAGGGCCAUACCAAGUUGAGAUAUAAUGUUGGCAAAUAAAACUAAUCAUGGUUAUUGUAGCACCGAAAAAUUAAAGCCUAUGCUGUAGCCAUUAUACACUUUCCACUGAGGCACAUAUGCAAAUGAGAUAUGUACGGAUGGGUAAAGGCAGUUCAGCUGGUGGCUUGUAUUUUCUUUUUUCUUUUUUAAAAAUUAAUGUUAACUUUCUGGAGGGAGGGGGGAUUAUUAUUAUUAUCCAACAUCCCUAAAGUAGAUGUUGGAUUUUUGUUCAAGAGCAGUUACAACACAGGAACUGAAUAGAGAUUAUGAAAGGGCUCACCUUGGAUAAAUGUGAACGUGUUUCUGAAUGAGGGCUUACAGACUGCAACAUUUGAAGAUCUCCUUUGCCAUCAUUAGUGGAAACUAAAACUUGCUGCCACCUGAUUUGAAGUUAUACAAGACUCCAGUAUGUACACGAAUCACUUCUGGAUGUUCUCUAUUUUUUUCGGUGUAAAAAUCAGUUUUCUCAACUAAGCCACUCCUAAAAUUUACUACCAGUCGAUGUUGACUGGUAGUCAACAUCGGCUGAUUCAUUGAACACUACUUAUCAUUGAAUGAUAAGUAUUGUUCAAUGUCCUUGCUUUGUGAUAUGUACAAAAUCAUCAACUUGGGAAGCACUUUUCCAAUAUGAAAUUAUAUUGAUAGUGGUAAACAGAACAAUGUUCCCCCCCCCAGCUUCUGUACUUUGAAUCUAUCUUAUUUGAACGAUUAAACAGUUUGAUCUUCCUUCAUGAAUGAACAUGAAAUUGGGACAAUGAGAAAGUAUCCUUCAAUCAAUCCAGUCUUCUCUCUGAAUGGUUUCAAACAAUUGUUUCAUGUAGGCUAAGGCUGUAGCUGGAUCCAGUGGUUUGCUGAUUGCUAUAUUUCAUUAUUGCUACAAAAAUUCUUGAACUCUUACUGCAUGCAGUGCUCAAGGUGAUUAGCCACUAGAGGGCACCAUUCACCUUGGUAUCACUGGGUCUUUGCCUCUCAUGCUAUUUGCAAACCCAUUUCUUAUUUCAUUAAAAAAAAUUGUUAUAAAAAGCAGGAUGUGGUGAAAAUAAACUAGAAUCACAGUUCUGUUACUUUGUUUCUUUCAUAGUAUUUUUUUUUCUUCCUGUA